rnacentral:rRNA from 1 species
UACAGAGGUCUCAAGCGUUGUUCGGAUUCAUUGGGCGUAAAGGGUGCGUAGGCGGCGCGGUAAGUCGGGUGUGAAAUCUCGGAGCUUAACUCCGAAACUGCAUUCGAUACUGCCGUGCUUGAGGACUGGAGAGGAGACUGGAAUUUACGGUGUAGCGGUGAAAUGCGUAGAUAUCGUAAGGAAGACCAGUGGCGAAGGCGGGUCUCUGGGCUGGAACUGACGCUGAGGAGCGAAAGCGUGGGUAGCAAACAGG